rnacentral:rRNA from 1 species
GGUAGUUUGACUGGGGCGGUCUCCUCCUAAAGAGUAACGGAGGAGCACGAAGGUUGGCUAAUCCUGGUCGGACAUCAGGAGGUUAGUGCAAUGGCAUAAGCCAGCUUGACUGCGAGCGUGACGGCGCGAGCAGGUGCGAAAGCAGGUCAUAGUGAUCCGGUGGUUCUGAAUGGAAGGGCCAUCGCUCAACGGAUAAAAGGUACUCCGGGGAUAACAGGCUGAUACCGCCCAAGAGUUCAUAUCGACGGCGGUGUUUGGCACCUCGAUGUCGGCUCAUCACAUCCUGGGGCUGAAGUAGGUCCCAAGGGUAUGGCUGUUCGCCAUUUAAAGUGGUACGCGAGCUGGGUUUAGAACGUCGUGAGACAGUUCGGUCCCUAUCUGCCGUGGGCGCUGGAGAACUGAGGGGGGCUGCUCCUAGUACGAGAGGACCGGAGUGGACGCAUCACUGGUGUUCGGGUUGUCAUGCCAAUGGCACUGCCCGGUAGCUAAAUGCGGAAGAGAUAAGUGCUGAAAGCAUCUAAGCACGAAACUUGCCCCGAGAUGAGUUCUCCCUGACUCCUUGAGAGUCCUGAAGGAACGUUGAAGACGACGACGUUGAUAGGCCGGGUGUGUAAGCGCAGCGAUGCGUUGAGCUAACCGGUACUAAUGAACCGUGAGG